CCCUAUGGGGUGCAGCGCCGAAUUAAAAUGGAUGCAUUCACCGGGUUCCAGAAGGCUGGUGUUUUUGCCGACGGAGAUGGAAAGCUUCCCUUUCAGCACAUAGAUGAAUUCUUCGCCUUCGUGGUGAUAUUCCACCCCUUCAUGAGCGGUCUUGGGUUCUAUGGUGACGAGGUAUGCGCCAAGAUGCUUGUCGGAGCCGGAUUUCGUAAGCUGUGUAUAGGCGUACGAUCCCGCCCGCUUUUUCUGGCUUUUUGCUCUGGACGAGGCUUUUUUGUUUUCGUUGCCGUCGAGGGUUUCAACAUCGACCUUCAGCGUCCGGCUCAACUGUAAAACAAGCGCCACCGGGGCGGUGGUUUCAUCUUUUUCAACUUUUUCCAGGAGAUCGGCGGGGGGGC
rnacentral:rRNA from 1 species